UCUCCGUUGGUGAACCAGCGGAGGGAUCAUUACCGAGUUUACAACUCCCAAACCCCUAUAUGAACGUUACCAAACUGUUGCCUCGGCGGGAAAUUCAUGCCCCGGGCGCGUCGCAGCCCCGGACCAAGGCGCCCGCCGGAGGACCAACCAAAACUCUUUUGUAUGUCCCUCGCGGACUUUUAUAAUUCUGAACCAUCUCGGCGCCCCUAGCGGGCGUUUCGAAAAUGAAUCAAAACUUUCAACAACGGAUCUCUUGGUUCUG
rnacentral:misc_RNA from 1 species